AAGUAGUGUGACAUGUCCGUUUGAUGUUAAACUCUGAUGUAUUAUUUAUUAUUUAAUUGUUUGGGAUAACGAGGUGUUAUAUAACU
rnacentral:pre_miRNA from 1 species